GACGAACGCUGGCGGCGUGCUUAACACAUGCAAGUCGAACGGAAAGGCCCUGCUUUUGUGGGGUGCUCGAGUGGCGAACGGGUGAGUAACACGUGAGUAACCUGCCCUUGACUUUGGGAUAACUUCAGGAAACUGGGGCUAAUACCGGAUAGGAGCUCCUGCUGCAUGGUGGGGGUUGGAAAGUUUCGGCGGUUGGGGAUGGACUCGCGGCUUAUCAGCUUGUUGGUGGGGUAGUGGCUUACCAAGGCUUUGACGGGUAGCCGGCCUGAGAGGGUGACCGGCCACAUUGGGACUGAGCUACGGCCCAGACUCCUACGGGAGGCAGCAGUGGGGAAUAUUGCACAAUGGGCGGAAGCCUGAUGCAGCAACGCUGCGUGCGGGAUGACGGCCUUCGGGUUGUAAACCGCUUUCGCCUGUGACGAAGCGUGAGUGACGGUAAUGGGUAAAGAAGCACCGGCUAACUACGUG
rnacentral:rRNA from 1 species